UAGCGUUGAAAUACCAGUUCCCCCUACGAUCACCGAAGUUAAGCAACGUUGAGCCUGUUCAGUACUUAGAUGGGUGGCCGCUCGAGACUACCAGUUGCUAU